rnacentral:rRNA from 1 species
UGAGGAAUAUUGGUCAAUGGACGUAAGUCUGAACCAGCCAAGUAGCGUGCAGGAUGACGGCCCUAUGGGUUGUAAACUGCUUUUGUGCGGGGAUAAAGUGUGGGACGUGUCCCAUAUUGCAGGUACCGCAUGAAUAAGGACCGGCUAAUUCCGUGCCAGCAGCCGCGGUAAUACGGAAGGUCCGGGCGUUAUCCGGAUUUAUUGGGUUUAAAGGGAGCGUAGGCCGGAGAUUAAGCGUGUUGUGAAAUGCCGCGGCUCAACCGUGGCACUGCAGCGCGAACUGGUU